GUCUACGGCCAUACCACCCUGAACGCGCCCGAUCUCGUCUGAUCUCGGAAGCUAAGCAGGGUCGGGCCUGGUUAGUACUUGGAUGGGAGAAUCCAUGCAGAAACCCCUGCUUCCUGGAUA
rnacentral:rRNA from 1 species